UACGUAGGGUGCGAGCGUUAAUCGGAAUUACUGGGCGUAAAGCGUGCGCAGGCGGUUUUUUAAGCCAGAUGUGAAAUCCCCGGGCUUAACCUGGGAAUGGCAUUUGGGACUGCAAGGCUGGAGUGUGGCAGAGGAGACUGGAAUUCCUGGUGUAGCAGUGAAAUGCGUAGAUAUCGAGAGGAACACCUGCGGCGAAGGCGGGUUGCUGGGCCGACACUGACGCUGAUGCGCGAAAGCCAGGGGAGCGAACGGG
rnacentral:rRNA from 1 species